UUCGCCUUGUGGAAAUUAAACACACUCUCGUUUUUCUUCGUCUCGCGUAAAGCUUUUACUUUAACUAAAGAAUUUCGCGAAGAGGAACUCGACGAGAUUCAAACAAGAUUUGCUCCUCUGCGUUAACGAUCUUACUCGUUUGUGGAAAACAAAACAAGCAAAACUAGGCCAGGGGCCUCCAACUUUCAUCACUAUUACAACUGCUUUCACAGAAACAGACGUGGUCAAAGUGUCCAACUCGGGGGUCGGGGUCGUGCAGAAGGUAUGGUUGUCAUCCCAGGACGUUUCCCUGGGUGGAGAAUCUAAGAAACUGGCACCUAGAUUCAUCGGGCCCUAUGAGCCAGCGCUCCUCCCUCCACGCGGCAGGUAGAGGGCCACCGGGCAUUCACCGUAAGGACCAUCCUGGAUGCCAGAAGGCGUGGCAGGGGUGUGCAGUUUUUGAGCGACUGGGAGGGCUAUUGUAUUAGGACUUUUAUCGCAAAUUCCCUAACAAGCUUGGAGGUCCGCCAGGAGGCGUCCAUUGACAGAGGAGGGGAAUGGUGUGACGCUCUGCUGUAACACGGAUUCUGGUAACUCCCGUCUGGGGCGCAGCUGCGGGACGUGCCACAGCUCCUCUUCAUCAGCGUCAUCAAUUUAAGCUCUCCUGUUGCGACUGGAUGGCACUCUGCUAUUCCUCAUGGUGGAGACGCCAAGACACGCUUUGAUUCCUCAUCGUCCUGUUAUGCCAGUUUGCUGUUGGCCUACCAGGGUGCCAGCCAGUCCGCUAGCUUGCGCCUGUGCUGCAUGUCCUGUAGCUUCGUCAGGCCGGUAAUUUGUUAGCCUUAGUCUUCCUUUCGCCCAUUUUUUGUGGUGCCUUUUAGUGUGUUUUACUGGCACCGUUGUUUUUUGUUCCUCAUUCAUAUGUGCCUAUUAAAGACUAAGCACAUACCUUUGUCCUGGGAUUCUAAGUCCAGUGUAGAACACACUUCCUCACAGUUUUAUACAACAAUAUGUAGUGUAAAUAUUGUCAAGUCUUGUGUGAAGGCUGGACCGAGUACCCAGAGAGUAGGCAAUGGUGACGUUUACAAUGCUUUAUUUGACCAAUAAAAGU